rnacentral:rRNA from 1 species
UGAGCUGUGAUGGGGAGAAGACAUUGUGUCUUCGAGUCGUUGAUUUCACACUGCCGAGAAAAGCCUCUAGAUAGAAAAUAGGUGCCCGUACCGCAAACCGACACAGGUAGUCAAGAUGAGAAUUCUAAGGUGAGCGAGCGAACUCUCGUUAAGGAACUCGGCAAAAUGACCCCGUAACUUCGGGAGAAGGGGUGCUCUUUAGGGUUAACGCCCAGAAGAGCCGCAGUGAAUAGGCCCAAGCGACUGUUUAUCAAAAACACAGGUCUCUGCUAAACCGUAAGGUGAUGUAUAGGGGCUGACGCCUGCCCGGUGCUGGAAGGUUAAGAGGAGUGGUUAGCUUCUGCGAAGCUACGAAUCGAAGCCCCAGUAAACGGCGGCCGUAACUAUAACGGUCCUAAGGUAGCGAAAUUCCUUGUCGGGUAAGUUCCGACCCGCACGAAAGGCGUAACGAUUUGGGCACUGUCUCAACGAGAGACUCGGUGAAAUCAUAGUACCUGUGAAGAUGCAGGUUACCCGCGACAGGACGGAAAGACCCCGUGGAGCUUUACUGUAGCCUGAUAUUGAAAUUCGGCACAGCUUGUACAG